rnacentral:rRNA from 1 species
UUCGGCAAUGGGAUNAAGCCUGACGGAGCAAUACCGCGUGAGGGAUGAAGGCGUAUGGGGNGUUAACUUCUUUUUUCAGGGAUCGAUCGUAAUGACGUGUACCUGAAGAAUAAGCAUCGGCUUACUCCGUGCCAGCAGCCGCGGUCAGAGCGGAGGAGGCAAGUCCAUCCGGAAUCACUGGGCGUAAAGCGUCUGUAGGUGGUUUAAUAAGUCAACUGUUAAAUCUUGAGGCUUAACCCUCAAAAUCGCAGUCGAAACUAUUAGAUCUAGAGUAUAGUAGGGGUAAAGGGAAUUCCAGAGAGCGGUGAAAUGCGUAGAUAUUGGAAAGAACACCGAUGGCGAAGGCACUUUACUGGGCUAUUACUGACACUCAGAGACGAAAGCUAGGGUAGCGAAUGGGAUUAGAUACCCCAGUAGUCCUAGUCUGUAAACUAUGGAUACUAGAUGUUGAACAGAUCGACCUGUGCAGUAUUAAAGCUAACGCGUUAAGUAUCCCGCCUGG